GACGUAGGGCGCGAGCGUUGUCCGGAUUUAUUGGGCGUAAAGAGCUCGUAGGCGGCUUGUUGCGUCAGCUGUGAAAUCCCCAGGCUCAACCUGGGAACUGCGUCCGAUACUGGCAGGCUUGAAUCCGGGAGAGGGAUGUGGAAUUCCAGGUGUAGCGGUGAAAUGCGUAGAUAUCUGGAGGAACACCGGUGGCGAAGGCGGCAUCCUGGACCGGUAUUGACGCUGAGGCGCGAAAGCUAGGGGAGCAAACGGG
rnacentral:rRNA from 1 species